rnacentral:rRNA from 1 species
CCAAUAGCGUAUAUUAAAGUUGUUGCAGUUAAAAAGCUCGUAGUUGAAUUUCGGGGUUAGUAAGUUGGUCAUGCCUUUGGUAUGCACUGGCUUUACUGAUUCCUCCUUCUUGACGAACCGUGAUGUCAUUAAUUUGGUGUUGCGGGAGAUCAGGACUGUUACUUUGAAAAAAUUAGAGUGUUUAAAGCAGGCUAACGCUUGAAUACAUUAGCAUGGAAUAAUGAAAUAGGACGUUAAUCCUAUUUUGUUGGUUUCUAGGAUCGACGUAAUGAUUAAUAGGGAUAGUUGGGGGCAUUAGUAUUCAAUUGUCAGAGGUGAAAUUCUUGGAUUUAUUGAAGACUAACUACUGCGAAAGCAUUUGCCAAGGAUGUUUUCAUUAAGCAAGAACGAAAGUUAGGGGAUCGAAGACGAUCAGAUACCGUCGUAGUCUUAACCAUAAACUAUGCCGACUAGGGAUCGGAUGAUGUUAAUUCUUUAAUGACUCAUUCGGCGCCUUACG